rnacentral:rRNA from 1 species
UACGAAGGGGGCUAGCGUUGCUCGGAAUCACUGGGCGUAAAGGGUGCGUAGGCGGGUCUUUAAGUCAGGGGUGAAAUCCUGGAGCUCAACUCCAGAACUGCCUUUGAUACUGAAGAUCUUGAGUUCGGGAGAGGUGAGUGGAACUGCGAGUGUAGAGGUGAAAUUCGUAGAUAUUCGCAAGAACACCAGUGGCGAAGGCGGCUCACUGGCCCGAUACUGACGCUGAGGCACGAAAGCUAGGGGAGCAAACGGGA